UAUAAAUAUAAACACGAUUCAACGAGCCCUGUCUCACGCACGAUAACUCCAGACGCCCUCCGCCACCACGCCCCCAUCCCUCCAACUCCGCUGCGCACGGGAGCAGGGGGAACCUGCGACGGCGGUGGCAUGAUCUCCGGCAAGCGGCGGGUUCGAGCGGUGGGGCCGGGAUCUGGUGGCGGCGGCGAGCUCCUGUAGAUCGGCGGCCUAUCCUCUCCUCUGCGUACGCACAAGGCACAAUAGCACGGGGUCCUCUCCCUACACGGCACGGCACCGCCGCCACGCGCGGCCAGUCUUCCUCUCCAGCUACCCUUGAGCAGCGCCGUCGUUGCCCUGUUCUUCUUCGCCUCCUCACCCGCCCCAACUCCUCACCCCCAGCCCUCUCCACCUCGAGGCGGACGUCUCUGAUUUGGAUAGGAGUCGAUGGCGUGUUCACGAUGGAAUACUGCUCCAACACGUAGCUAUGGGUCCAACCCGAAUAUCAGAUCAAUCUCCCUGCCAUAAGAAGAAACCCUAGAGUGGAAGCACAAGUAAAUCGCAUCGCAAGUUUGUAAGACGAGAUUGUUGUGCGGGAACUGUCCAAUCUCGCCUCCACCUACUUCGCCGGAAGACCAUCUGCAAUCCGACGUUGCUCUACACAUCGCCGGAACUCCGAGUGCCGGUUCUCCAUGAGGUAUUGCAUACUGAAGACACAAGGAGAAUUGGAAUCAUGCUAUUUGUUUUUCUAGAAACCUACAGUUAAUGAAGCAAACAUAAACUGAACCUUAGUGUGCUACUUCCUGAUCUUCAGCUAAUUUUUCAUUGAUUGAUUCAUUGUUGUGUUUAGUUAGUCUAUCCACAAGCUAGAGGGACUAGGUUAAUUAAGAACAAUGUCUAAGGUAAUGAUUCACUAUGUACAGGUUGCCACCAUGUCAUAUUUGGUUGGCUUAGAGUGACAAGUAUUUCAAGGGUAAUCAAGUUGAUAAGCACCAGCUUAAAUUCAACCAAAAAUUUUAUGGCGUGAUCUCAAAUCUGUGAGCACACGAACCACGGAACUUCACCCAGCCAUUCUGGAUUUUUUAAUUGAGAGACAACUAAUUUCUCAUUGUUUGAUUCAUCAUGCUUACUCGCUCUGUCCUAGAGAGACUAACAUUGUUCUGAUUCACUUCAGUUAAAUUUUCCAGUAGCUUUAGCUCUGUACAUUGGCAUGAAAAGGUGUUUGCCGUUUAGACGAAUUAACUGUUGGAUACUCCAUGAAAGAGGUAGGCCCAUCGCAUGAUUAGGAAGAAUAAGGUGUAUGCUAUACUUGAACAGAUUCCGUUAAGGAGACCAUUUAGCAUGGUCUGCUGGUUAUAGCCUUCUGUCUUGAACUGUAGGCAGAAGUGAAUUUGCUGCUUUGUGCACUCAGGAAGCUGAUUUCGUGUCGUGAACUCUACAGUUGCAUAUAUUUAGUCCCUCUACACAAGCAGGCACAAACGUCCUUUUGAUUUAUUUAUUUUUGAAUUAGGCCGCAUAAGUAGGCAGCAGUUACAAUCAAUGGUGAUGCAGAUUGAAGUACAGGCAAGAUUGCACCUUUAGUAACAUCAGUAUCAACUAUCAAGUAUGUUUAAUCUCAUUUAUCCGUAAGCUUAAUAUGUUGUAUACUUGUAUGGUGAUGCAGAGUUGAAGUACACUGCAAUCUGCACUGGGAUGUCCGUAAGCUUAAUCUCAUUUAUCCAUUGAAGGAGGUCGUCCUUGUGAUCACUGGAAACAUGUUUGUGAUUGAGGCACACAGCAAAAUGGCUCACACUCACCACCAUUACUCGAAGGACCAUCUCCAUAUACGAGUUGCUUUACCUGAAAGCAUAUUUCUGAAGAUAUAUAUUUUUUCGUAUUUGUUUUAUAUUUUUGGACAACUGGUUGUUUAUAUUGGUGGAGAUCCAGUGCUUUACAGAGCCCGCAUAUAAAGGUAAUGUGUAUUGCUAUUUUUCUUACUUAGUAGCAUUAGAAUCUCCCCAUCUCUUUAUACGGAGGUGAUGACGAAGGAGGAAGAGUUGUGUCAGGCCCAGCUCAAGCUAGAUGAAGAAGAGGAGGCCAGAAAGAGAGAAUCAGCAAGGCAGAAGCCUUUUGAUCUCAAGGCACGAUUCUGCGGGUUGGUGAGCUACUAACAAAGACACACCUCUAUUCUGAAUUUCUACUUGAAAAAGAUGGACCAUCAGUUACGGAAUAUGUUCGCUGUUGACAUUGGUGGUGGUGUCUUUUGGUUCAACAUGAAGUUGUUUAAGUGAAAAAUGCAGUGGAACAUGUGGAACAAAGGACGUGGUAUGGAAAGGAAAGCAAAGCAAAGCCUAAACAGUACAAUGAUGCAGGUUCAGAUUUCAUAUGUUAUCUUCCCUGCCUCAGGAAUAUGAAAUGGUUGUCUUCUAGAUUAUGAACGUGUCUUUAUUUGUCAUGUAUUGUCGACGCACUGUGUAGUCUGUACUAAUUCUACUGAGACUGCUUGAUCUCUUAUCAUUCACACUUCAGAAUUUUCUAAUUAUCUUAUUAUUAGUAGUAUCAUCCUUCCAACGUACUGAUUCACAAAUCUUAGCUAAUUAGGAAGGAACUACAUGUUUAUCCAUUCUUUUUCAGAUAUGGUGCUCUUGUAGGCGAAGUAGAUGCAUAAUUCUUUUGGAAGGAAGGGCAGGCACACUAGAUAAUGAUGUAUUAUGUUUCUGGCCCAGAACAGGCAGCCCCCAUCAUCCACAACCUUGAUUCCACAAUAUACCCCGCUGAUAUGAUCUAGAGGAGCGAGGAGCUGGGCAAGGAGUCACUGCCGGUUCACAUGACCAAGAAGGGGUACGCGAUUUUGGGAAGAGAUGCAGGAAGACUGGAAGAAGAUUGACUUCAGUCGCUUCGGCAUCGCCGGCAGCGCCGACGGGAUCCUGCUUUAUUCCGAAGAACUGAUUUUAUAUGAUUCUGAACCUAGCCGUCCAACAUCAUAUCUGUCCAGCUAUACAAGCUUGUAUGCAGCCAAGUUAGUUGCUUUAUUAUGGACUCAACGAGGAAGAGCACUACCACUUUUUCAGAAUUUGAUUUUGUGAACCUUCAUGUUGCACUAUCACAUAUUGCACAUGAGUUGAUUCAGGUUUCCAGAGUUCAGACCACAACAAUCAAUCGGUCUGAAGGUGCUCCUGUUUUAUAUCAGAUCGUGAGGAAUGGGGACCCUUUUUGGAUAUUUGACUACUAUAUUUGCAUGCCGGAGUUCGCCGCCGUCUGCCGUGCUGUGAUUUUUGGGUAUGAUGCUAGAUUACGUGGUUGCAUAGUUCCUUCUUUUUCUUCUUCAAAUUCAAUAUUCUUGGGUCAUGGUGUGCUCAUGCUGAUUUGCAGCCCGGAUGAUAGUCCGUGGGAGGGAGGUUAGUUGAUCUAGCUGUAUUUAGUAGCUAUUUCAAUAAUGUUAUAGAAUCUUUGCUAAACACCUUUGGUGUUGAUUGUUCUUGAACUAAAGAAAUUUACAAUGUAGAAUUGGCAUAAUUCACUUCCUGGAUGAAAAAAGAAGUUGCGUGUCCUUUAGUCAGCAAAUCAAGUUGAGCGAUGCAGCACGUUGGGGAAAAGUCGCAGCGGAAGGCUUUUUCCUAAAGGGAUUGAGAUUACCAGGAUUCAGAUUGGAUCCCUGCUGUGUCAGUGCGGAGAACUGCUCGAACACGUAGGCAUGACAUGACCGAUGCUGAUUACGCCCGAACUGCCCUCCUUUGACAUAAAAGAUUCUCGAGCCCCUCGACUGAAAUCCCGACUAAACGCAAGUUUCCCUUCUUGAAAUUACUGCGUCUGAAGCUUCCAAUCUCGCCAACUUCGCUGGAGAAUCGUGCGCCCGUGCUCGAGCAGAGGUACAAUUUUCAGUACUGUUUUUAGGGGCUUCUACAUGAAUCCCAUGCAUGGCUUUGUGGCAUGCAAGACUUUCUUGCUAGACAAGCAAGAAAACAGAGCCAUCACGCUUGCCCUACCGUAGCAGCCUUCAAAGCACCACAUAACGUGGGCUCUCUCAAUGUCAGUUCAUUAGCUGAGCUGAUUUCACAUGUUAACAUCAUGUAAUCUUUUUUCUACAUUGCACAUUUAUCAGUUGGAUUACAUCGUAGACUGCAGUUCAGAUCAUUAUCAUGUAGGUUGCUCCUUUGAAAGUUAGACUUCAUAAAGAAGCAAUUUGAUCCGACCACAAUACCUCUGAAUAGAUGCAUCAUGGAUUUGUGGGUUCACCAUCUUGGAAGGUGCAAUUCUGGUGAUGGUGUCAUAAUUGAUAAAUAUGUACGUUGCUUCAUAUGUUGGAUAGUUUUGGCGGCCUUCUGUGUGAGGUAGACUUGACUGAUGAGGGCUUGAAAAGGGGCCUUGGUUGUCUGUCAACUGAAAACUCUGUUUGUGCACAACCUAUAUCCUCUAUGAGAAGGAACUGGAUGGAGCAAGUUCUACAUGCCUCAAAUUGCUUAAAUAUAUGCUAAGCUCACUUGAUUUACCCAGCGGAAUAAACAAAAACUGGGUCCAGAACUACUGCAUGCGUAAUGCAACACUUCUUUUAUGUACUACCUCAAUGCGGGAGUGUUAAUUGUUGAUCCCACUAAGUCUGCAUUUGUUAAAACAUGGUGUUUUGGUAGGAGAUGACUGUCAACUCAGUGCAAUGGUUAGAGCAAAGUAAGGUAUUGCCUCACCCUCUUUAUACUGUCUGAUUUCACUUACUCAUUGGUGCAUUUACUAAAAGAUAAACUUCUGAUACUAAAAUGCUUUUUUUUUCUUGAGAAAAAUUGUAAUGGCCAUAUCUUUCCUUUAUGUUCCAUUGUUAUUUAUCUGUUUUUGAUAAUCUUAAUUCUUACUUUCCAUUGUUUAUCUCUAGGUAUGCAAAGAAGUUGGAUUUGCGACAAGUUUAUUUGGGAGAUUGGUUAUGCUCCAAUUUAAUAUACAUUUGCUGAACAUACAGUAUCACAUGAAUCCUUCUUCAGGUUAUUUCCAAAUGUCCAGUUUUAUGAGAGGAAGAUUAGCAUGGCGGCCAAGUUGAAGGUGCACUUCCACGCCGGCGGCCCGAUCUCGACGGCAAUCCGACGCAGGCGGCGUCCACCAACAGCUCCUCCUCCAAGGACGAGGUGGGCCACGUGCAAGAGACCUACGUGCAGAUUUGCUGUUUCAUGUCAUUUAUUUUCUUAUUUCCUGUUUGGUUUUAAUUCCAGUUUUUUGUUUGUAAUAGUUGUUCAUGGGAUGAAAUUUCCAAAUCACGUUGGUUUGUUUGCAUACCCAAAUUGUAAUGAUUAUAUUUUAUUACUUUCCAUCGUGGAUAGAGAUGUAUUUGUCCUCAUUUUGCUCUUGAACUAUGGAAUUUCUUGACAAGUA